GGGGUGGUGGCGCAGUUUGCUAGCGCGUAGGUCUCAUAGCUCCCUGAGGUCGAGAGUUCGAGCCUCUCUCACCCCA
rnacentral:tRNA from 1 species